rnacentral:rRNA from 1 species
UACGUAGGGUGCGAGCGUUAAUCGGAAUUACUGGGCGUAAAGCGUGCGCAGGCGGUUUUGUAAGCCAGAUGUGAAAUCCCCGGGCUUAACCUGGGAAUGGCAUUUGGGACUGCAAGGCUGGAGUGUGGCAGAGGAGACUGGAAUUCCUGGUGUAGCAGUGAAAUGCGCAGAUAUCAGGAGGAACACCCGUAGCGAAGGCGGCACUCUGGGCCGAUACUGACACUGAGGAGCGAAAGCGUGGGGAGCGAACAGG